rnacentral:rRNA from 1 species
UACGUAGGGUGCAAGCGUUAAUCGGAAUUACUGGGCGUAAAGCGUGCGCAGGCGGUUUUGUAAGUCUGUCGUGAAAUCCCCGGGCUUAACCUGGGAAUGGCGAUGGAGACUGCAAGGCUAGAGUUUGGCAGAGGGGGGUAGAAUUCCACGUGUAGCAGUGAAAUGCGUAGAGAUGUGGAGGAACACCGAUGGCGAAGGCAGCCCCCUGGGUCAAUUCUUACGCUCAGGCACGAAAGCGUGGGGAUCAAACAGG